rnacentral:hammerhead_ribozyme from 1 species
AUCUAGACGACGAGUCCCAAAUAGGACGAAAUGUGCAUCGUUGAC